rnacentral:rRNA from 1 species
GACAGAGGGUGCAAACGUUGUUCGGAAUUACUGGGCGUAAAGGGCGCGUAGGCGGCACUGUUAGUCAGGCGUGAAAUUCCUGGGCUCAACCUGGGGACUGCGCUUGAUACGGCAGAGCUUGAGGAUGGAAGAGGGUCGCGGAAUUCCCAGUGUAGAGGUGAAAUUCGUAGAUAUUGGGAAGAACACCGGUGGCGAAGGCGGCGACCUGGUCCAUUACUGACGCUGAGGCGCGACAGCGUGGGGAGCAAACAGG